GCCGGACAUGAUCGUGCCGGUGCCCUGACGGGCUUAAUCGGGAAUGCGGUGAGGGGGCCUUGGCUCCCAAUUCCGUGGCUGUCCCUGCAACUGUGAGCGGAUAGCGCGAUGCACAUGCCCCAUGCCGGGGCAGCCACUGGAAGGGCCAUUUGCCCAUCUGGGAAGGCGUGCAUCAAGCUGUGACCCGCGAGCCAGGAGACCUGCCGGCGCACCGGUCGCUCU
rnacentral:ncRNA from 2 species